CCUUGCUCAGGUACAAACCCUAGGACAGGUCUGCAGCUGUCACACGGCAACAUUGACUGCCUCCAUCCACAUUUUGGUUUAGAAACACUUUGUCUGCAGCUAUUUGGCUGUGUGAGCGGAAAGCACAAUAACUUGGGUGUGUUGUGUAGUCACAUGGCCUGGGUUUUGUACCUGCCCGCCGCACAGCUUAUAAUCGCGAGACUCAACAGAAAACUUCGCCCGUCGCCGUUAUGCACAAUCAUCGUCAGCACCAGUGCCACCCCAGCACAGCUUCACCGACUGUAAGCAGACUUUUGAGGAGAGAGUGGCACGAGGGGCUGUGGCACGUCAUGCAAACAUUCAACCAGCAAUCAAGAGGCUGUAUGUACGUCAAGGGCGCCCCCUAUCACCGGUGCUGGUCAACAUCAUCUUGGAGAACAUCAGUGGUGAAACCCUCCACCUCCACCACUCGUCCUCCCUGUCAUGGAAGUUGAUUUACACUCACACUUUGUAGACGACAUCCAUGUGAUAGAAGGCCCUAUAGGGGGCACUACAGCAGGCACUAUAGGAAGCACUACAGCAGGCACUACAGGAGACACUAUAGCAGGCAUACACUAUAGGAAGCACUACAGCAGGCACUACAGGAGACACUAUAGCAGGCAUACACUAUAGGAAGCCCUAGAGGAGGCACUACAGCAAGGACUAUAGGAGGCACUACAGCAGGCACUAUAGGAGGCACUACAGCAGGCACUACAGGAAGCACUACAGCAGGCACUACAGGAGACACUAUAGCACGCAUGCCCUAUAUGAGGCACUACAGCAGGCACUAUAGGAGGCAUUGUAGCAUGCAGGCACUACAGGAGGCAGUACAGCAGGCAGGCACUAUAAAGGGCACUAUAGCAGGCAGGCACUAUAGGAAGCACUACAGCAGCACUAUAAGAGGCAUUAUAUCAUGCAUUACAGCAGGCACUAUAGGAGGCAUUAUAGCAGGCACUACAGCAGGCUCUAUAGGAAGCACUACAGCAGCACUAUAAGAGGCAUUAUAUCAUGCAUUACAGCAGGCUCUAUAGGAAGCACUAUAGGAGGCACUACAGUAUGCAGGCACUACGGCAGAGAACUACAAGACCUCACCAACACACGGACAGGUCCAACACAAGGAAUGGAGACCCGCACUGACUAUAGUCCUGGUCAUUGACGACGGCCAAGCAGAGAUCGACAUGAAGGUAGUGUGGGUGGAAGUGGUCAGCAGCUUCAAAUACUUGGCAGCCACUUUUCCCAAGGACGACAACUCCACAGAUACCCACCCCAGGAUCGCGACAGUAACAUGGCUCCACUGGACAAGGUCUGGUGCACCCGUGACACCAGGUGGACUACAAAGUACACGUCCCGCAUAGCACCCUCUCUGUUGUACGGGUGUCAAGUGCAGACAACCCAGGGAGUGGAGGACCAGUGCCCGAGGAGGCUGCUGUGGACGUCGUACUGAGAACGUACACGUACCCGACACCACCGACAUCUACCUGCAACGGUCAAGCGGCGCAAGUCAUGUGACCCACACAACACUUUGUUCAAGGUACCUUGAAAUGUAGUCGACGCCGCCAUGGUCAGAGGAAGAACUGGCGAACGUCACACACUAUUGUGUGUGUGGACUGGUGAGUAGAACUGGCGAACGUCACACACUAUGUGUGUGUGGACUAGUCAGUAGAACUGGCGAACGUCACACACUAUUUUGUGUGUGUGGACUAGUCAGUAGAACUGGCGAACGUCACACGCUAUUGUGUGUGUGUGGACUAGUCAGUAGAACUGGCGAACGUCACACGCUAUUGUGUGUGUGUGUGGACUAGUCAGUGGAAAUGGCGAACGUCACACGCUAUUGUGUGUGUGUGGACUAGUCAGUAGAACUGGAGAAUGUCACACACUAUUGUGUGUGUGGACUAGUCAGUAGAACUGGCGAACGUCACACACUAUUGUGUGUGUGGACUAGUCAGUAGAACUGGCGAACGUCACACACUAUUGUGUGUGUGGACUGGUCAGUAGAACUGGCGAACGUCACACACUAUUGUGUGUGUGGACUGGUCAGUAGAACUGGCGAACGUCACACACUAUUGUGUGUGUGGACUAGUCAGUAGAACUGGCGAACGUCACACGCUAUUGUGUGUGUGUGUGUACUAGUCAGUAGAACUGGCGAACGUCACACGCUAUUGUGUGUGUGUGGACUGGUCAGUAGAACUGGCGAACGUCACACACUAUUGUGUGUGUGGACUAGUCAGUAGAACUGGCGAACGUCACACGCUAUUGUGUGUGUGUGGACUGGUCAGUAGAACUGGAGAACGUCACACGCUAUUGUGUGUGUGUGGACUAGUCAGUAGAACUGGCGAACGUCACACACUAUUGUGUGUGUGUGGACUAGUCAGUAGAACUGGCGAACGUCACACACUAUUGUGUGUGGACUAGUCAGUAGAACUGGCGAACGUCACACACUAUUGUGUGUGUGGACUAGUCAGUAGAACUGGCGAACGUCACACGCUAUUGUGUGUGUGUGGACUAGUCAGUAGAACUGGAGAAUGUCACACACUUUUGUGUGUGUGGACUAGUCAGUAGAACUGGCGAACGUCACACACUAUUGUGUGUGUGGACUGGUCAGUAGAACUGGCGAACGUCACACACUAUUGUGUGUGUGGACUAGUCAGUAGAACUGGCGAACGUCACACGCUAUUGUGUGUGUGUGGACUGGUCAGUAGAACUGGAGAACGUCACACACUAUUGUGUGUGUGGAUUGAUCAGAACUGGCGAACGUCACACACUGGUGUUUCAUAUAUCGCCCAAAACAGGCAAGAGUGGCGGGCCCUGUCAGCUGCCGCGUCUAUCCAUGUGAUCCCCACUACGAUCAGGUACGACAGGUCACGAAUGACUAACCGGCUGACUAGGGAUACUUAACAAUUUCUGGACCUAUAUUUAUGCAGUUCUAGGGUGCACGGCUAUCUCUGGUCCUCUAGGUACGUAGUACUCGGGUACACAGCUAUCUCUGGUCCUCUAGGUACGUAGUACUCGGGUACACAGCUAUCUCUGGUCCUCUAGGUACGUAGUACUCGGGUACACAGCUAUCUCUGGUCCUCUAGGUACAUGACACACGUUUUUCGAGUUGUUGAAAGAACUGAAAGUUGUGUGUGUACAAGCGGUACACAGGUAUGAGUCUGUGACAUUUUUCCCUGCUGAAAGCUGUACAUCAACUUAUCCUUCCUCUUCGAUCCCUUCCCACCGCUUUUCACUCCAUUUAUAACCUAUCACACUUCACUUCUAAUGUCACACGUCACCUACUUCUAAUCUGUCACACUUCACUUCUAAUCUGUCACACUUCUUCAACCAACGUGGUUUCUAGAACUGCACAUCAGCGCUUGCUGCUGCCCUGGCAGUGGAGGAAUUUUCUGAUCACUGUCAUGAAGAUUUUGUUAUCAGGAGCAUUUUAGUAUUCAAUCUUUCUCCGUUAUUUGGCAUUCUAUCAAGGAUAAAGACCAUCUGCAAGAUCAUUAACUUUCCACAAAGACCAUUAGGUGAUCGAUACACCAGGGCUGUGAGGUUAAAAGUUGUCAGAAUCAUCACAGAUCCCUACCACCUGCUAUAUCACAAAUGUUAUCAGCACCUUGUCACUCCCACCAUAGUGUGCUUGUGACAAUCGUCACUGACUGGUUGGGUGUCACUGUGGGGGUGAUUUCAGGCUGACAUUUUUUUUUCAGUUUAUUACUUAUGGCAGCUCCAAACAAAUAUUUCUAGCUCUGUUGUCGACAGAAAAGACAAUAAAAACAACCACUCCCGAUGACUGUGCUUUGUGAGAAAUGAGAAUGCUCUGCUUUGAGAAAAAA